rnacentral:rRNA from 1 species
CUACGGGUGGCACCAGUGGGGAAUAUUGCGCAAUGGGGGGAACCCUGACGCAGCAACGCCGCGUGAAGGAAGAAGGCUUUCGGGUUGUAAACUUCUUUGAAUAGGGACGAAGAAAGUGACGGUACCUAUAGAACAAGCCACGGCUAACUACGUGCCAGCAGCCGCGGUAAUACGUAGGUGGCAAGCGUUGUCCGGAAUUACUGGGUGUAAAGGGCGUGUAGGCGGGAGAGCAAGUCAGAUGUGAAAGUCCAAGGCUUAACCAUGGAAGUGCAUCUGAAACUGUUUUUCUUGAGUGUCGGAGAGGAAAGUGGAAUUCCUAGUGUAGCGGUGAAAUGCGUAGAGAUUAGGAGGAACACCAGUGGCGAAGGCGGCUUUCUGGACGAUAACUGACGCUGAGGCGCGAAAGCGUGGGGAGCAAACAGGAUUAGAUACCCGCGUAGUC